rnacentral:lncRNA from 1 species
AAGACCCAGUCAUCUCCAAUGUCAUAAGAGAACACAUACUGGAGAGAAACCCUAUGAAUGUAAUCAGUGUGGUAAAGCCUUUGCAAGACCCAGUCAUCUCCAACAUCAUAAAAGAACACAUACUGGAGAGAAACCCUAUGAAUGUAAUCAGUGUGGUAAAGCCUUUGCAGGUCACAGUAAUCUCCAAUGUCAUAAAAGAACACAUACUGGAGAGAAACCCUAUGAAUGUAAUCAAUGUGGUAAAGUCUUUUCACAACACGGUCAUCUCCAAUGUCAUAAAAGAACACAUACUGGAGAGAAAUCCUAUGAAUGUAAUCAGUGUGGUAAAGACUUUGCAUGUCACAGUUAUCUCCAAUGUCAUAAAAGAACACAUACUGGAGAGAAACCCUAUGAAUGUAAUCAAUGUGGUAAAGUCUUUUCACAUCACAGUAAUCUCCAACAUCAUAAAAGAACACAUACUGGAGAGAAACCCUAUGGAUGUAAUCAAUGCGGUAAAGCCUUUGCACAACUCAGUAGUUUCCAAUGUCAUAAAAGAACACAUACUGGAGAGAAACCCUAUGAAUGUAAUCAUUGUGGUAAAGCCUUUGCACGUCACAGUUAUCUCCAAUGUCAUAAAAGAACACAUACUGGAGAGAAACCCUAUGAAUGUAAUCAAUGUGGUAAAGUCUUUUCACAACACAGUCAUCUCCAAUGUCAUAAAAGAACACAUACUGGAGAGAAACUCUAUGAAUGUAAUCAAUGUGGUAAAGCCUUUGCACUACUCUCUACUUUCCAAUGUCAUAAAGGAACACAUACCGGAGAGAAACCCUAUGAAUGUAUUCAGUGUGGUAAAGCCUUUGCAAGACCCAGUCUUCUCCAAAUUCAUAAAAGAACACAUACUGGAGAGAAACCCUAUGAAUGUAUUCAGUGUGGUAAAGCCUUUGCAAGACCCAGUCUUCUCCAAAUUCAUAAAAGAACACAUACUGGAGAGAAACCGUAUGAAUGUAAUCAGUGUGGUAAAGCCUUUGCACGUCACAGUUAUCUCCAAUUUCAUAAAAGAACACAUACUGGAGAGAAACCCUAUGAAUGUAAUCAAUGUGGUAAAGCCUUUGCAAGACCCAGUCAUCACCAACAUCAUAAAAGAACACAUACUGGAGAGAAACCCUAUGAAUGUAAUCAAUGUGGUAAAGCCUUUGCAGGUCACAGUAAUCUCCAACGUCAUAAAAGAACACAUACUGGAGAGAAACCCUAUGAAUGUAAUCAAUGUGGUAAAGUCUUUUCACAACACAGUAAUCUCCAACAUCAUAAAAGAACACAUACGGGAGAGAUACCCUAUGAAAGUAAUCAAUGCGGUAAAGCCUUUGCACAACUCAGAAGUUUCCAACGUCAUAAAAGAACACAUACUGGAGAGAAACCCUAUGAAUGUAAUCAGUGUUGUAAAGCCUUUACAUGUCACAGUUAUCUCCAAUGUCAUAAAAGAACACAUACUGGAGAGAAACCCUAUGAAUGUAAUCAAUGUGGUGAAGUCUUUUCACAACACAGUCAUCUCCAAUGUCAUAAAAGAACACAUACUUUUUCGAUAUAGCUGUCUCCUGUGAGGCUAUUCCAGUGCUGAGCAAAUACAUAAGUGGAUGCUCAGAGUCAUCUAUUGAAUGGAACACAGGGCUCUCAAUGGAGGAGCCUGAGAAAGUACCCAAGGAGCUGAAGGGGUCUGCAACCCUAUAGGUGGAACAACAAUAUAAACUAACCAGUAACCCCCAGAGCUCAUGUCUCUAGCUGCAUAUCUAGCAGAAAAUGGCCUAGUCUGCCAUCAUUGGGCAGAGAAUCCCUUGGCCUCGCAAACUUUCUAAGCCCCAGUACAGGGGAACUCCAAGGCCCAGAAGUGGGAGUGGGUAGGUAGGGGAGCAGUGUGGGGGGAGUGUAUAGGGGAACUGUCGGGAUAGCUUUUUAAAUGUAAAUGAAGAAAAUAUCUAAUAAAAAUUGAAAUAUAAAAAAACAUACUGGAGAAAAAUCUAUGAAUGUAAUCAAUGUGGUAAAGCCUUUUCACAAUUCAGUAGUCUCCAAUUUUAUAAAAGUACAUAUACUGGAGGGAAACCCUAUGAAUGUAAUCAAUGUGGUAAAGCUUUUGCAGGUCACAGUCAUCUCCAAUAUCAUAAAAGAAUCCAUAAUGGAGAGAAACCUUAGAAAUGUAAUCAAUGUUAUAAAAGCCUUUUCACAGUUAUUGUCUCUAUAAUCAUAAAAGAAUCCAUAUUCGAUAGAAACCUUAUGAAUGUCGUCAGUGUGCUAAAGCCUUUGUAUAUCCCACUCGUCUUCAAAACAUAAAAGAUUCCACACUGGAAAGAAACCUCAUGAAUGCAAUCAAUGUGGUAAAGACUUUUUAAAACUCUAUAGUCUCCAUUAUUUUCAAAGAACACAUAGAAGACAGAAACCUUUGGAAGGUAAUCGGUGUUGUAAAGCAUUUGAUGUCACGAUCAUCUAUGAUGACUUAAAGAUCACAUACAAGUGAGAACCCAUGUGAAUGUUAUGAACGUAGUAAAGCCUUUGUAUGUCAUAGUUCUUUAGGCACACACAAGACAAACCACACUGCAGAGAAACCCCAAUUUAAAUGUUUGCUUUUCUGAGAGUUGGUUUGGUCAUGAGAUCUGUUCCUAGCCAUUGAAAAGCUGAGGAAGAAACCCUCUGAGUAUAUUUAAUAUGGUAAAGC